CAGCAGCCGCGGUAAUACGAAGGGUGCAAGCGUUACUCGGAAUUACUGGGCGUAAAGCGUGCGCAGGCGGUUGUGUAAGACAGGUGUGAAGUCCCCGGGCUUAACCUGGGAACUGCGCUUGUGACUGCACAGCUAGAGUAUGGCAGAGGGGGGUGGAAUUCCACGUGUAGCAGUGAAAUGCGUAGAGAUGUGGAGGAACACCGAUGGCGAAGGCAGCCCCCUGGGACAACACUGACGCUGAGGCACGAAAGCGUGGGGAGCAAACAGGAUUAGAUACCCCUGUAGUCCCUGUCUCUUAUAA
rnacentral:rRNA from 1 species